GUGUCAGCAGCCGCGGUAAUACAGAGGUCUCAAGCGUUGUUCGGAAUUACUGGGCGUAAAGGGUGCGCAGGCCGCGCGGGCAGUCAAAUGUGAAAUUCAGGGGCUCAACCCCUGCAUUGCGCUUGAUACUUCCGCGCUAGAACCUUGGAGAGGGAUCUGGAAUUCUCGGUGUAGCAGUGAAAUGCGUGGAUAUCGAGAAGAACACUAACGGCGUAAGCAAGAUCCUGGACAAGUGUUGACGCUCAUGCACGAAGGCUAGGGGAGCGAACGGGAUUAGAAACCCGCGUAGUCC
rnacentral:rRNA from 1 species